rnacentral:rRNA from 1 species
UGGGGAAUAUUGCACAAUGGGCGAAAGCCUGAUGCAGCAACGCCGCGUGAGUGAUGAAGGCCUUCGGGUUGUAAAGCUCUGUCUUUUGGGACGAUAAUGACGGUACCAAAGGAGGAAGCCACGGCUAACUACGUGCCAGCAGCCGCGGUAAUACGUAGGUGGCAAGCGUUGUCCGGAUUUACUGGGCGUAAAGGAUGCGUAGGCGGAUUUUUAAGUGAGAUGUGAAAACCCUAAGCUUAACUUGGGGACUGCAUUUCAUACUGGAAAUCUAGAGUGCGGGAGAGGAGAAUGGAAUUCCUAGUGUAGCGGUGAAAUGCGUAGAGAUUAGGAAGAACACCAGUGGCGAAGGCGAUUCUCUGGACCGUAACUGACGCUGAGGCAUGAAAGCGUGGGUAGCAAACAGGAUUAGAUACCCUGGUAGUCCACGCCGUAAACGAUGAGUACUAGGUGUAGGAGGUAUCGACCCCCUUCUGUGCCGCAGUUAACACAAUAAGUACUCCGCCUGGGAAGUACGAUCGCAAGAUUAAAAACUUAAAUGGAAUUGACGGGGGUCAUAGCUG